UUGCGCCUGCGGCGGAUAAGGCACGGUACUUUUAAGCGCUUCACAGGCAGCCGUACCGUGUACGAUCUUGUAAAUCCAAGAAUUUUCUUGGAUUUAAUGUUUUCU
rnacentral:sRNA from 1 species